ensembl:lncRNA
UGCAAAUGGAAAGAAGAACCUCUUUCCCUUCCAAAUUGAUAUUAUUAGUUUUUUUGGGGGGGAGGGUCUAUUCACAUCUUUAUUCUUGUCUGUGUUCUGUGGGCCAUUGCAAGUCAAUGCCAAAGCAACUGGUGGGUUGUUUCAUGAAGACCACACAGGUGAGGCUUUUUGUCUUUUUAGAUUCAUCUGGGAACAACUGAUGCCUCUAAGGAAGAUGGAGAAUAAGAAAGGCUGGACUUUUCUCCUUGUUGGUCUUCAUAACUUCCUCCCUGACCCAUAGAACAGAGAAUGGAGUUGAGUGGCAAGAUGCACUAACCCCCCAACCUAGGGUUGGAAGAGUCUGCCCCACACUGGCCCUCACCUCUCCAGAGCUUAUUCCCUCAGCAAAGCAAUAUAUGUCCCAUCUAAAAAUCACUUCACCCCUGUAUGGCCAACAUGCUUCCACUUUAGAUGUAUCAAGGUCUAUUCUGACAUCUCUCUGUAGAGAAUAGAAAAGUAGGAGCUAAGUACUGGCAGAAACAGAAAAUGUCAGCACUUGCUAAAAGUUACAUUUUCCAGAAAACUCCCAACUACAGCAGAAAAGCAGUAUUUUUAGGAGCCCCUCAAUGGUACCUACUUGGAACAUGCCCAGGCUGAAGAAGAGGAAAUCAGGAGUUGGAGAAAAGAGCCAUUAAGAAUUGUCUAAUACUAAAUGCUGUUGGUAAGUGGAACCGCAUUUUGUGUAUCUCUUGGCAUUUAGGAAAAAUUGACCAUAAUUUACCCUGGACAGAAAGAUUCAGGGACCUUUAAUCAUUCAUAAUUAUCCUUAUAGUCAGCAAAAUUUUUCAACAGCUUCAGUUUUCAUUGCUCUCUUCUUAUUUUGUUUGGACCAUGAAGCAGCUGAAAAGACUGCCUUCCAUAUUGUUUUGGGAAGUAGUCUUGCAGGGGCUUAAACCUGGUGACUUCAGUGUUCCUUUCCCAACUGUGAAUCAUGAUGAACUUUCUCAAACUGGGCUGUGUCUUAAAAGAAGCUUGGAUGGGAAGAAUGUCUAGGACAUGGACAUGUGCUCUGACAUCAAGAAAAGGAAGACAUCACAGCACCCAAGAGAGUGUGAAUUGUAGGAUAAUAAUUGUCUAUUUUAAAAAGAACAAUAGGGGAGAAAAUUGGAAGAUGUAUACCCAAAUUUUACCUAUGAUGAUAUGAUCCUGAUUUCAUCCCUUAAUUUACCAGGAGUCCAAAUGCAUCUCUUUUGCAGAGGGUGUUUCUGUUGGCAGUGAGAUUGGGUUGUAUCCCUCAUACAUCUUGUCAACAUCCCUCCAUUGUCUGUUUUUUAGAUUUAAAAAAACUUGAUGGGAAUCACACUGCUUUUUUUCUGAAUAGAAGAUUUAUGGGAGAUUUUUCUGAGUCAGAAAAAUCAGAUUACCUCUAAUUUUUCUGCACACACAGACACAUGUAUGCACAUACACUCCCUUCUGUACCAAGGUGCUGAGUGGAGCCUCUUGAGAGGGAGGGAGUGUGGACAAAGGCAUUGUUUAAGGCCAGCCAGCUGGCCUCAACCCUCUCCCUAACCACUUGAGAUGGUGGGGACUCAGUGGUUGCUGAGUCGGACGUGGGAGAAUUGCAGAAUCCACUGGUGAAUUGCUCCUUUGUUCUCCUCCUAAUCUUCUAAUCC